rnacentral:rRNA from 1 species
AGAGUUUGAUCCUGGCUCAGAUUGAACGCUGGCGGCAUGCUUUACACAUGCAAGUCGAACGGUAACAGGUUUUCGGAUGCUGACGAGUGGCGAACGGGUGAGUAAUACAUCGGAACGUGCCUAGUAGUGGGGGAUAACUACUCGAAAGAGUAGCUAAUACCGCAUGAGAUCUACGGAUGAAAGCAGGGGACCUUUGGGCCUUGUGCUACUAGAGCGGCUGAUGGCAGAUUGGGUAGUUGGUGGGGUAAAGGCUUACCAAGCCUGCGAUCUGUAGCUGGUCUGAGAGGACGACCAGCCACACUGGGACUGAGACACGGCCCAGACUCCUACGGGAGGCAGCAGUGGGGAAUUUUGGACAAUGGGCGAAAGCCUGAUCCAGCAAUGCCGCGUGCAGGAUGAAGGCCCUCGGGUUGUAAACUGCUCUUGUACGGAACGAAAAGCCUGGGGCUAAUAUCCCCGGGUCAUGACGGUACCGUAAGAAUAAGCACCGGCUAACUACGUGCCAGCAGCCGCGGUAAUACGUAGGGUGCAAGCGUUAAUCGGAAUUACUGGGCGUAAAGCGUGCGCAGGCGGUUUUGUAAGACAGUGGUGAAAUCCCCGGGCUCAACCUGGGAACUGCCAUUGUGACUGCAAGGCUAGAGUGCGGCAGAGGGGGAUGGAAUUCCGCGUGUAGCAGUGAAAUGCGUAGAUAUGCGGAGGAACACCGAUGGCGAAGGCAAUCCCCUGGGCCUGCACUGACGCUCAUGCACGAAAGCGUGGGGAGCAAACAGGAUUAGAUACCCUGGUAGUCCACGCCCUAAACGAUGUCAAC